rnacentral:rRNA from 1 species
UACGGGGGGAGCAAGCGUUGUUCGGAUUUACUGGGCGUAAAGGGCGCGUAGGCGGCCAGCGCAAGUCAGUUGUGAAAUCUCCGGGCUUAACUCGGAACGGUCAACUGAUACUGCGCGGCUAGAGUGCGGAAGGGGCAACUGGAAUUCUUGGUGUAGCGGUGAAAUGCGUAGAUAUCAAGAGGAACACCGGUGGCGAAGGCGGGUCUCUGGGCAGUAACUGACGCUGAGGAGCGAAAGCGUGGGGAGCGAACAGG